rnacentral:snoRNA from 2 species
AGCAAAUGAGGAAGCUAUACCAUCUGAAACUGUGCUGUUGAUAAUUCUUGGAUGGUCUUCAAAGUUCUCUGAUUGCU